rnacentral:tRNA from 1 species
GCGUCGGUGGUUCAGUGGUAGAAUGCUCGCCUGCCACGCGGGUGACCCGGGUUCGAAUACCGGCUGACGCA